rnacentral:rRNA from 1 species
GACGUAGGAUGCAAGCGUUGUCCGGAAUUAUUGGGCGUAAAGAGUUCGUAGGCGGUUACUUAAGUCUGGUGUUAAAGACGGGAGCUCAACUCCCGCAUGGCAUUGGAAACUGGGUGGCUAGAGUGUGGUAGAGGUCUCGGGAAUUCCAGGUGUAGCGGUGAAAUGCGUAGAUAUCUGGAGGAACACCGGUGGCGAAAGCGCGAGACUGGGCCAUAACUGACGCUGAGGAACGAAAGCCAGGGGAGCGAAAGGG